GGAGAGGUGUCCGAGAGGCCGAAGGAGCACGCCUGGAAAGUGUGUAUACGGAAACGUAUCGUGGGUUCGAAUCCCACCCUCUCCGCCA
rnacentral:tRNA from 1 species